GAUGAACGCUAGCUACAGGCUUAACACAUGCAAGUCGAGGGGCAGCAUGGUCUUAGCUUGCUAAGGCCGAUGGCGACCGGCGCACGGGUGAGUAACGCGUAUCCAACCUGCCUUACACUCUUGGACAGCCUUCUGAAAGGGAGAUUAAUACAAGAUGUUAUCAUGAGUAAGCAUUUUCGCAUGAUUAAAGGUUUACCGGUGUAAGAUGGGGAUGCGUUCCAUUAGAUAGUAGGCGGGGUAACGGCCCACCUAGUCUUCGAUGGAUAGGGGUUCUGAGAGGAAGGUCCCCCACAUUGGAACUGAGACACGGUCCAAACUCCUACGGGAGGCAGCAGUGAGGAAUAUUGGUCAAUGGACGAGAGUCUGAACCAGCCAAGUAGCGUGAAGGAUGAAGGUUCUAUGGAUUGUAAACUUCUUUUAUACGGGAAUAAACGGAUCCACGUGUGGAUUUUUGCAUGUACCGUAUGAAUAAGGAUCGGCUAACUCCGUGCCAGCAGCCGCGGUAAUACAGAGGAUCCGAGCGUUAUCCGGAUUUAUUGGGUUUAAAGGGAGCGUAGAUGGGUUGUUAAGUCAGUUGUGAAAGUUUGCGGCUCAACCGUAAAAUUGCAAUUGAUACUGGCAGUCUUGAGUACAGUUGAGGUAGGCGGAAUUCGUGGUGUAGCGGUGAAAUGCUUAGAUAUCACGAAGAACUCCGAUUGCGAAGGCAGCUUACUAACCUGUAACUGACAUUGAUGCUCGAAAGUGUGGGUAUCAAACAGGAUUAGAUACCCUGGUAGUCCACACGGUAAACGAUGAAUACUCGCUGUAGGCGAUAUACAGUCUGCGGCCAAGCGAAAGCAUUAAGUAUUCCACCUGGGGAGUACGCCGGCAACGGUGAAACUCAAAGGAAUUGACGGGGGCCCGCACAAGCGGAGGAACAUGUGGUUUAAUUCGAUGAUACGCGUGGAACCUUACCCGGGCUUAAAUUGCAACCGAAUAUGGCGGAAACGCUAUAGCUAGCAAUAGCGGUUGUGAAGGUGCUGCAUGGUUGUCGUCAGCUCGUGCCGUGAGGUGUCGGCUUAAGUGCCAUAACGAGCGCAACCCUUGCCGAUAGUUACUAACAGGUCAUGCUGAGGACUCUGUCGGGACUGCCAUCGUAAGAUGUGAGGAAGGUGGGGAUGACGUCAAAUCAGCACGGCCCUUACGUCCGGGGCUACACACGUGUUACAAUGGGGGGUACAGAGGGCUGCUACCACGCAAGUGGAUGCCAAUCCCAAAAACCUCUCUCAGUUCGGAUUGAAGUCUGCAACCCGACUUCAUGAAGCUGGAUUCGCUAGUAAUCGCGCAUCAGCCACGGCGCGGUGAAUACGUUCCCGGGCCUUGUACACACCGCCCGUCAAGCCAUGGGAGCCGGGGGUACCUGAAGUGCGUAACCGCAAGGAGCGCCCUAGGGUA
rnacentral:rRNA from 1 species